UGGGGAAUAUUGGGCAAUGGGCGAAAGCCUGACCCAGCCACGCCGCGUGAGUGAUGAAGGCCUUCGGGUCGUAAAGCUCUGUGGGGAGGGACGAACAAGCCUGGGGCUAAUCACCCGGGACCUGACGGUACCUCCUUAGCAAGCACCGGCUAACCCUGUGCCAGCAGCCGCGGUAAUACAGGGGGUGCAAACGUUGCUCGGAAUCAUUGGGCGUAAAGCGCACGUAGGCGGUCUGUUAUGUCGGAUGUGAAAGCCCUUGGCUCAACUGAGGAAGUGCAUCCGAAACUGGCAGGCUAGAGUACUAAAGAGGGUCGCGGAAUUCCCGGUGUAGAGGUGAAAUUCGUAGAUAUCGGGAGGAACACCGGUGGCGAAGGCGGCGACCUGGGUAGAUACUGACGCUGAGGUGCGAAAGCGUGGGGAGCAAACA
rnacentral:rRNA from 1 species